GUAUUGAAAUAUCCCUCGGCCAUAGAAGAGUGGUGGAGAGAAUGUUGCAAUGUCCUUCACUUUAGUCUGAAUCUUCCUAAGUACCAACGUAUAGUUCCCUGGUCUGGCCUCCAGUGCUUCAGAAGCACCACCAACCACCACAACACAUGAAUGACCAGGGCCCAUUUUUGUCAAUAUGUGUUUCAAACUUUCUCUUGAUGCUGGACAUAUACCCAUGGCCAACAAAAAUUCACGAAGAAAUGGAAUCUUAAACUGGAUGUUCAGGGUUAUUAGAUGCACAGUAAGACCCGGAAAAUGUUUUGAAAAUCCAGUUGCUUCCGAGGCGAAAUUCCCCGUUGAUCCAACAGCCAUAACGCCAUGAGGAUGGCAGCCAAAGAGGUAAUUCUUUGAUUCAUCUAGCUCAUGCGUUUUUAUUAAACGUAAUGGAAAGUAUUCGGCGCAAUAAUUCCAUACUUUUAACCGCCUCAUAGCGGGAAAAUAUCGCCCCCCUCUGUGAGGUGUAUCCUUGUCAAUCAUGUAAAUCCAAGCUAGAUACAACAGCAAAAAUAUCCUCGUGAAGAGAUUAAUGUACAAUAGGAAAAGACAAACUAGUACACAAAAUAUAUGACCAAACAUAAAUGUCGAGCCAACAAUCCAAACAAGAAAAGUUUGUCGACGUCUUUUUACAGGUAUUUUAAGCGGUGCCCACUCGAUUCCAAAAGCUUUCGCCAUAGUGGAGGUUUUGCAAGACUAGCAAGUAUUUGUUGAAUGAAAACAACUUAACAAAAUGGAAGCAGUUCAAGGUCCAAAGUGUAAAACAUUCACAUGUAAUUACAGGAAGUCACAAGACUGCAUCAAGAGCAGUGGCGUGCCGUCACGCAAGCGUAGGAAAUUCCAAUAAUCUACGAAUUUU